GAUGAACGCUGGCGGCGUGCCUAAUACAUGCAAGUCGAGCGAACAGACGAGGAGCUUGCUCCUCUGACGUUAGCGGCGGACGGGUGAGUAACACGUGGAUAACCUACCUAUAAGACUGGGAUAACUUCGGGAAACCGGAGCUAAUACCGGAUAAUAUAUUUAACCGCAUGGUUCAAUAGUGAAAGACGGUUUUGCUGUCACUUAUAGAUGGAUCCGCGCCGCAUUAGCUAGUUGGUAAGGUAACGGCUUACCAAGGCGACGAUGCGUAGCCGACCUGAGAGGGUGAUCGGCCACACUGGAACUGAGACACGGUCCAGACUCCUACGGGAGGCAGCAGUAGGGAAUCUUCCGCAAUGGGCGAAAGCCUGACGGAGCACCGCCGCGUGAGUGAUGAAGGUCUUCGGAUCGUAAAACUCUGUUAUUAGGGAAGAACAAAUGUGUAAGUAACUAUGCACGUCUUGACGGUACCUAAUCAGAAAGCCACGGCUAACUACGUG
rnacentral:rRNA from 1 species